UGUUCAUCUAGGGAAAAAAACUGUCACAAGCAAGAAACAAGAGAAAAUAAUAAGCUAGUGCAAGUUCAAAGGAAUUGUAUUUUGUUUUGUCUACAAAGAAAGAAAUACCAGGAUAUUUUGAGCGAUAUAAUGGAAGAAAGAUGCUGUAAGAGAAUGUAGCAGAGAUUUUUUUCAUCUUAACACCUAGGUAAUAGUUAUCCAGUUUUUAAAGCUGUGUUGUCUUGGAAGUUGCUUUUAGAAUGCUGUUCUUAAUAUACUUGAUCAGAUCCAAAGUCCAGCUUUUGAAUGGAGUGAAAUGAGCCAUAAGGCCAAUCCAAACUAUUUAGGAUAUCAGGACACAACAUGCAUUUUGAUAUAGAAUCUCAAUACUUCAUCACCAUGGUGCUAAAUGACCUAAUAAGCAGAAUUAAAAGGGCCAACACAGCCAUCAACUCAUAUUCCCAUGAGUUCUUGCAGAAAGUAAUAUGCAGUGAUGUUCUCACUAAUUAGCUUUUCUUAAAUUAUAUGUAAUAGGAUGUGUAAACAAACUGGGGAACCCAUUACUAUAAAAUAUUGAUAUGUAGUUUUCUACAUAGAAUUUUAGGAUUAGAGAAGUUGUUAAGAAAUGGAUUCAGUAGGAAAGGUUGGCAGCAAACUGUUUGAGUAGAAAUUACUCCUAUGUAAAUAAUCUCUAGGGUUGCAAUUUAGAUCUCCCCUUGCCCAGAAACUGGAAAUAAACUGGGAGGAAAAGAUUACCAUAUUGUAGUCCUUUUACUGCUACAGUGCCUCUGCAGGUCCCAAACCUGGCCAGAGAGUGGAACAUAGGUCUGACCAAAUUGUCCUAGUGUCCUAUGUAUGUAUGUGUAGAUAUUAUAUAAAGCAGACUGACAAAGCUAGAGCUGCAUAUCUUCCAGACCUUGGAAUAAAAUAAUACAUACCAGAACUAAUAGGGGGCUCAUUUAAAGAACUAUUUUCACUGACAGUUCUGUUUAUUCAUUUUAUGUUUAUUCAGCUUUUUAGAAUUAGAUUGUGUAGUUUUAUGGCUGUUUAAUUUAUUGGGAUUUAUGCAGUCUUUCUUAGAUGUAUUAGCCAUAGCUGUCAAAAGUACUCUUUAAAGGGAAUUCAAGAGCUGAUUCCUAUCAAAGGGACAAUUAACAGCUAUUCAGAAAACUCAAGGUAGACUUUCCAUUCCAUCUCCCACCCAUAGCAAAUGGGAAAUUAAAUAGGCAGGAAUUUCAAGCUAUUAUUUGCUACGAAAUUCUUGUCAAUGAAAAGACUAUCCAGUUCCAGCCUUCUGAACUGGAAGUCGUGUUUACAUUUGGAAAUAUAUAAUGGGGGGAAAUAAAAUGAAUUGUAUUUUGAAA